CGACUUUUGUUGCGAGUAUACACAAAUAGAUUAUCCAAUCUGCACUUAUUUUCAUGUGUCAUUGUAUAUGCAGGUCGUAGUAAACAGGACCAUAGGAACAUAAAUAAGCUCAUGACCAAUUUAUGUUACUAUUAACAUACCUGGACCAAGAUUAUAUAUGUGGUGGGUAACCACAUCGAACUUGGGUGUUUUGCCAAUAAAUUCUUUGAACCAAUUUGCAUAAAAAAUCCUCCUGGUGUUAUGAUUUGCGACUGAAAUUCUUCACCCUUACAGAUAUCUUGCACUAUCUUUUGUAGAGAGAUUGUGUCCGAGGAGUAUUGAUCUGCUGCAACUCUACCCGUACUCCACUUCCACACAAUUCAUUUCCU
rnacentral:lncRNA from 1 species